AAACAUCUCCAUUUGCAAAUGCUGGAGACCACUGUGCUCGUUGGGACCUUCAAUGUUGCAGACAUCUUUCUGUACCCUUCCCCAGAUCUGUGCCUUGAUACAAUCCUGUCUCUGAGGUCUACAGUCAAUUCCUUGGACCUCAUGGUUUGGUGUGUUCCUUUCCAAGUCAUGUCAAAUCUAUUGAAUUGACCACAGGUGGACUCCAGUCAAGUUAUAGAAACAUCUCAAGGAUGAUCAGUGGAAACGGGAUGCACCUGAGCUCAAUUUUCAGUGUCAUAGCAAAGGGUGUGAAUACAAUUUUGAAAUAAGGCUGUAAAAUGUGAAAAAGUUAAGGGGUAUGAAUACUUUCCGGAUGCACUGUAUGUUGGUAGGAUGAGGCUAAAGCUAAUUUAAGCUACAAAAUACAUGUUUACAAUAUACUAAGCAUAUAGUUUGGUACAUCUUUGAUCAGGAAUUUAAGAAUACACAAGCUAAGCACAGGGGGCUGAACACUAUUACCAUAAGUCACAUGUUUACAUAUUCAUUUUGAUGUUAGCUAUCCAUCCAUACAUCCAGCAGGCACACCUAAUUAACAAAAGUCCAAAAAUUACCCCUAUUACUUCUGAUUUGUCUUCAUUGACCCUGAACACAAUAAAUACGUGUUCUACUGUGUUAUGUUAACCAAAUACCCCUGUAAUUAUUUAACAUUUAAUGUUAAAUAAUUACUGAGUUGUCUAUGGUGGUUCAUAUUAUUGGCUUAAAAUCAACUAUAAAUGUGUGAAAAAUAAAC